CUUCGGUCCUAGCGGCGGACGGGUGAGUAACGCGUGGGAACGUGCCCUUUCUUUCGGAAUAGCCCCGGGAAACUGGGAGUAAUGCCGGAUACGCCCCUUUUGUAGAGAUAUGGGAGGGGGAAAGAUUUAUCGGGGAAGGAUCGGCCCGCGUUGGAUUAGGUAGUUGGUGGGGUAAUGGCCUACCAAGCCGACGAUCCAUAGCUGGUUUGAGAGGAUGAUCAGCCACACUGGGACUGAGACACGGCCCAGACUCCUACGGGAGGCAGCAGUGGGGAAUCUUGGACAAUGGGGGCAACCCUGAUCCAGCCAUGCCGCGUGAGCGAUGAAGGCCUUAGGG
rnacentral:rRNA from 1 species